rnacentral:rRNA from 1 species
UCGGAGUGCUUGCACUCUGUGAAACAAGAUACAGGCUAGCGGCGGACGGGUGAGUAACACGUGGGUAACCUGCCCAAGAGAUCGGGAUAACACCUGGAAACAGAUGCUAAUACCGGAUAACAACAGAUGAUGCCUAUCAACUGUUUAAAAGAUGGUUCUGCUAUCACUCUUGGAUGGACCUGCGGUGCAUUAGCUAGUUGGUAGGGUAACGGCCUACCAAGGCGAUGAUGCAUAGCCGAGUUGAGAGACUGAUCGGCCACAUUGGGACUGAGACACGGCCCAAACUCCUACGGGAGGCAGCAGUAGGGAAUCUUCCACAAUGGACGCAAGUCUGAUGGAGCAACGCCGCGUGAGUGAAGAAGGGCUUCGGCUCGUAAAGCUCUGUUGUUGGUGAAGAAGGACAGGGGUAGUAACUGACCUUUGUUUGACGGUAAUCAAUUAGAAAGUCACGGCUAACUACGUGCCAGCAGCCGCGGUAAUACGUAGGUGGCAAGCGUUGUCCGGAUUUAUUGGGCGUAAAGCGAGUGCAGGCGGCUCGAUAAGUCUGAUGUGAAAGCCUUCGGCUCAACCGGAGAAUUGCAUCAGAAACUGUCGAGCUUGAGUACAGAAGAGGAGAGUGGAACUCCAUGUGUAGCGGUGAAAUGCGUAGAUAUAUGGAAGAACACCGGUGGCGAAGGCGGCUCUCUGGUCUGUUACUGACGCUGA